rnacentral:rRNA from 1 species
AUGGUGUGUGCUAGGGCGGAGAGAGUGAAGAAGAAAUGGGAUGACUUGCUUGAUGAGAUCAUCAACGACCACGCCAAGAACACGAUGUUGGACCAUGAAAUCAAGCAAGACGGAGAGACAGAUUUCAUCGAUGUAUUGCUCUCCAUUCAACAAGAGUACGACCUCACGAGAGAAAACGUCAAGGCCGUGUUGGUGGACAUGUUCAUAGGUGGGACGGACACAUCGUUCAUAGUGCUGGAUUGUGCAAUGGCUGAGCUAAUCCAAAAUCCGGAGGUGAUGACCAAGCUCCAAGCUGAAGUGAGGAGCGUAGCAGAGGGGAAGGAAAUGGUUACAGAAGAGGAUCUGAGUGGCAUGAUCUACCUCAAGGGUGUUAUCAAAGAGACGCUCUGGCUACACAGCCCUGUGCCGCUCUUCCUGCCCCACCUCUCCACGGCCGACUGCGACAUAGAGGGAUACACCAUACCGUCUGGUACCCGUGUGAUCAUCAAUGGCAGACCUCGUAAAGCGAUUAAGUUUCAUUGGAUCGGUCGGUCAAAACUUACACAUACACGUGUCAAAAACGGACAGAGGGAGUAG